UGGUUAUGGUCUUGAUAUUGGUAGUCGUUGAGACACAGUGGUAUAAAACAGUUUGACAGUCGCAGAAGAGGAUGGAGCGGCAUACGCGGUUGCGCGCGAGUCACGCAAACCCAAUAGCACAUUUCUGUACAUGGAUAUAUUUACGUGCUGGACACUGGCGAACUCCCGAAAAAGAAAAAUGGAGCACACUGCUGUUCAUGCUCCUAGUUCCACGUUUCGUCUGUCCUGGACCCCCCACUCCACUGCGUUCUUGGAUUCCUCUCCGGACCUGCUUACCCAGUCCCAACUCCCCUCGCUCCAGCCUCAACCUCAGCACCGGGCUUCCUGUAACCCACCCAAGCUUCCCCUGGCCUGCACCCCAUCCUCCACCUGUGUUUCAAUAAAUACCUUGGUUACCUCAUCCCAGUCUCAUCGUCUGCAUCUGCUCUUGGGUUUACAUGUUCCACUCCGCAUGACAUGAGUAGCCAGCAGUUGAAGCUUACAUUUUUCUGCAUAGGUAGAGCAUCUAUCUGGGUGGAAAGGUAACUUUUGAAAGUGCCAUGCUUAGAUAAGGAUGUCUAAGAUUGCAAAUAAUUAAAACAGUGGUUUGACAUUGAAGAAAUAUGGUAAGAAUGCCUAUUUCUCUAUACAUUCUUCCCUGAAACUUCUAUUUUCAUUAUCCUCCUUUUUCAGCCCAACAAUUUAUUUUGAUUGCUAAAUUUCUUUCCCCAAUCAAAGUACACAGAAAUAUAAAAUGAAUGUAAUAGAGACAUUAAUGAUUUUAUCAAUGUAAUCAUAUUAGGCUAUGUUAUUGACAGUGAACUGAUUAUGUAGCCUACUCACCAGAUGUGUUUCAUUUGUAGUGUAGGCCUAUGAAUUGGACUGCUAUUAUGUCCUGUUCCUCUGACUUUCAGUGGAGAAUUAUUUUUUGCC